AGGCAGGAGAAUCACUUGAACCCGGGAGGCAGAGGCUGCAGUGAGCUGAGAUCGCACCAUUGCACUCCAGCCUGGGCGACACAGCGAUACUCUGUUCCAAAAAAAAAAAAAAAUUUAAUUUAAUUAAAAAACACAUAAAUUCCUAGGACUAUAGGAAAAGAAGAAAACUUCCUUAACCCAAGAAAGGGAACUACAAAACCCCACAGCUAACCCCGUACUUAGUGGUGAGAGGCUGGAUGUUUUCUCCCGAGAUCAGGAACAAGA
rnacentral:lncRNA from 10 species